rnacentral:rRNA from 1 species
GAGAAUACGGGCGGAGAGGCAGCGGGAAAUGGUAGGGUGCGAGGGUUAAUCGUAGGUACUGGGGGGGAAGGGGUCGGAGGGGGCCGCGCAAGUCGAGUGUGGAAGCCGCGUGAUUAAGUUUGGAAUUGCGGUCGAAACUACGUUGCGGGGGUGUGGCAGAGUAAGGUGGGAUUCCUCGUGUAGCUGGGAAAUGCUUAGAGAUGUGGAGGAACUCCAAUGGCGAAGGCAGCCUUCUGGGCCAACACUGACGCUCAUGCACGAAAGCGUGCGGAGCAAACAGGAUUAGAUACCCCGGUAGUC